UACGUAGGGUGCAAGCGUUAUCCGGAAUUAUUGGGCGUAAAGAGCUCGUAGGCGGUCUGUCGCGUCGGAUGUGAAAAUCCAGGGCUCAACCCUGGACCUGCAUUCGAUACGGGCAGACUAGAGUUCGGUAGGGGAGACUGGAAUUCCUGGUGUAGCGGUGAAAUGCGCAGAUAUCAGGAGGAACACCGGUGGCGAAGGCGGGUCUCUGGGCCGAAACUGACGCUGAGGAGCGAAAGCGUGGGGAGCAAACAGG
rnacentral:rRNA from 1 species